CCUUUUAGCAAGGGGCAGAGAUCAUUGUCAAACAAGGACAUUUGAUUCUAGGAGCUGAAUCAAACCACCAAGCUCUCUGGCCUCUGCUGGAAAAUUAAGAUUGAAUUGCUUGACAGAGAACCCAACAGUUCAUGGAAGCAUCUAUGAAUGGAAAAGGGAGAGUACGCAACACCUUUAUGAUCAAUAAUGAGAGCCAUCAUAAAGGGUGCUUCAAGAGUCUGGCUAGUGAACUUCAUUUCCAGUUGGCUUUGGAUAAGUAUUUCUCAAACUAGAGCUGUGUCGGAAUUACUGGGAGGGUUUGUUAAAUUACUGAGCUCGGUCCCCAGCGUUUCUGCUUCCAUAAUCUUGGGGAUGAGGACCUGAGAAUUUAUACUUCUAAUAAAUUCCCAAGUGUUGCUGAUGCUGUUGGUUGAGGUACACACUUUGAGAACCACUACUUUAGCACAGUUAAGAAGCAUUAAGGAUAUCUAGAUCACAUUUCUAAGUUGGCCAGCAUCCAGAGAAUUCCAAGGAUGUCCUAGAUGUCAUUAAAUCUAUUGGACCUCUCUGGAGGAUCCAUGGAACUCCACACAUCUCACAAACCAUUUGGACUUCUUUCUAGAUAAAGAUAAAGAUAGGAGCAUUUGAAAGAAUGAGGGUAUAGCACUUCUUAAAUUUCUAGGAAAACUUUAGGCCCUUGGAGGCUCUGCUGAUUAAAUCACAAGAACAAAGGGCCCUGAACACACAGGGCAGGGAAAAUGAGUGGGAAUUCUGAAGUUUAAAAUGUAUGUAUGUUGCUAGGGCCAAACUUUUCCAACCAACCAAAUAGGAAGUUAGUAGGGCACUUAUUAACCCCUA